GGUUUUCUUGUGAAACGAUUACGUUUUAUAAUUUUCUAAUUGAUUUUUCUAAAUUUCAUCUAAAAGGCAACGAAGAACACAUCGAAUGACGAGGCGUUAGCGAAACAUAUCGAGUAAAAGACGUUUAAUAUCGGGUUCAAAAUGUCAGCCUGGAGACCUCGUAUUAUCAGGCAAACACUGGAACACGCUUCAGGGGGAUAAAAGCUCACGAGGCGUUCCAAGUGAUCACGUUCCUGAUCUAUCUCAAAUCUCGUCAAGGAAUCACGAUCCCCCACCAAUAUGCUGAUAAACGAAGGAAGUCUCCGCUAGUGAUAAUACAGGGGAAAUCCGGGGAAUCCGGAGACAUUUGAACCCGGUUGCCUAGCUUUCGUUGAAAUUAAAAGUACCGACGAAUGUGAGCCGGCAGAUUGUACACCGUACUUCGGGAAAAUGGAGAAUUACCGUCGAAACAAACUUGUCAUUUCAUUAAGCAAAUGAAAAGGUUCCGUUUUACAAGCGUUGUCCCUCCGGAUUACGUUCGACCGGUCAUUUGUGUAUUCGUUUAAUUAAAAGCAUUGCCUAGGUGGACCCGACGACAGCGUCGUCAGUCGACGAACUUUAAUCAAGCUGGACUUGACCCAAAAACGUUGAAACAGCGCGGUACUAGAGUUACGGCCGUGAAGAGCAAGGAGUGCCAUGCCGACCGCGCUUUUUGUUAAAAGCACGCUCUACUCGGACAGCCUACUACCGCGUCCUUGAGCCUCCUUCGACAAACUAUCAUUUCUUCCGGAUCCCCUUCUCUCUCUUUCUCUUGCUCUUUUCUCUUCCGUUCCGCAGACAUUGAAACGCACUUAGCGACACAUAUGAAAUGAACA
rnacentral:misc_RNA from 1 species